rnacentral:misc_RNA from 1 species
ACCGUCUUACACAAUACCAACCGCCCAUCAGGUUGUUUCAAAGGCUUUCAGCCACUGACUAAUAGAAAAAGAGACUGCAUACAACGUUUCAUUCAUGUUUUGCUAGGCUAGAUACAUUUGUUGUAGCGGUCUCAUAUUUGUAAGUCCGUGGAAAAACCUGAAAGUAUUUUUUUCUUGAAAAUUUUUUUGAAAAAAAAGUAAAAUGUCAUUAGGAGUGAGAAUCAGGAAUGAUGGAUUCACGGUCUAGUUGCAAGACUCAUCACAGGCCAUUAACCUCUGAAAAGCCUUUAUCUGCUUCG